GGGCCGUCAUGGACACAGGGCAAGGCUGGCAAAUCCCCAGAGAGGUUGGCAGAUUCUGAGGCUUCGGGUUGACGUUAUGGAACCAUCGUCAGCAGAAAAAAGGCAGGAUAGAGAGAGAGUGUCUGAGCCAGUCCACCCUGCUUAAAGGCAGGAAACAAAAUCUCUGCCAAAGGCCUGAUUCGGCUUGCCAGUAACACUACUGAGAGCUCAUCGGGACAGUGACUGUCUCUACAGCCCAGGUCUGCGCCAGCCAGAGUGACACUGCCCUCCACCUCAAGAGUGAGGCCCCAG